rnacentral:rRNA from 1 species
GGAUUCCCCUAGUAACUGCGAGUGAAGAGGGAAAAGCUCAAAUUUAAAAUCUGGUAGUCUCUGGCUGCCCGAGUUGUAAUUUAGAGAAGUGUUACCCGUGUUGGGCCGUGUAUAAGUCUCCUGGAAUGGAGCGUCAUAGAGGGUGAGAAUCCCGUCUUUGACACGGACUUCCAAUACAUUGUGGUGCGCUCUCGAAGAGUCGAGUUGUUUGGGAAUGCAGCUCUAAAUGGGUGGUAAAUUCCAUCUAAAGCUAAAUAUUGGGGAGAGACCGAUAGCGAACAAGUACCGUGAGGGAAAGAUGAAAAGAACUUUGGAAAGAGAGUUAAACAGUACGUGAAAUUGCUGAAAGGGAAACGCUUGAAGUCAGUCGCGUUAGUUUGGGAUCAGCCUUCCUUUUGGAUGGUGUACUUCCUUGCUGACGGGUCAGCAUCAGUUUUGACCAGUGGAUAAAAGCUUGAGGAAUGUGGCAUCUUCGGGUGUGUUAUAGCCUCUUGUUGUAUACAUUGGUUGGGACUGAGGAACUCAGCACGCCGCAAGGCCGGGUUUUUAACCACGUUCGUGCUUAGGAUGCUGGCAUAAUGGCUUUAAUCGA